UUGAGUGAGAUCAAUUUUUGCGUUAUUUUGCUUUCAUAAUUUUAUUGUGCGUUUAAAUAAUCUGCUCGCGUAAUUUGGUAAUUUCUUAGUUUCGCAUUCAAUAUGUUGUAUUCAAACAGAAGUGUUUUAACCUAGAAAUAAAGAUAAAAAAUUUGUAUCGAGGUCAAGGUUUUUUUGAUUGUUCAGUCUAUUAUUAAAUUUAUUCAUUCUUACAUCUGUGAAAAUGGCGGAGAUAUGAAUUUUUGAACAGAAACACGUAUUCCUCAUAUAUUCGAGCAGAUGUGACGCACGUGCAGCGGACGCGGUGGCCCGCGUGCGAGUGUGUCGACUGUGAACUUCAGACUGUACUGUUCUGGUCCUUCAGCUACGUAGAUGGAGAAAUAAAUUCGCUGUUACGUUUCAUCUGUAAAAAAAUAAACUUAUGUCUACAAAAAUUUUAUGGUUUGUAAGCUAUACUAUAUUCAAGAGGAAGGGGAUAAAUGUAGAUGUCUCUUGAAAAUAAUUCUAUAUUGUAUGUUAUAUUGUAUG